UACGGGGGGGGCAAGCGUUGUCCGGAAUUACUGGGCGUAAAGAGCUCGUAGGUGGUUUGUCGCGUUGUUCGUGAAAACUCACAGCUCAACUGUGGGCGUGCGGGCGAUACGGGCAGACUGGAGUACUGCAGGGGAGACUGGAAUUCCUGGUGUAGCGGUGAAAUGCGUAGAUAUCUGGAGGAACACCGGUGGCGAAGGCGGCAUCCUGGACCAACACUGACGCUGAGUGAGCGAAAGCCAGGGGAGCAAACAGG
rnacentral:rRNA from 1 species